rnacentral:rRNA from 1 species
GUGCAGCCGCCGCGGUAAUACCGGCAGCACGAGUGAUGGCCGAUAUUAUUGGGCCUAAAGCGUCCGUAGCUGGCCGGACAAGUCCGUUGGGAAAUCCACGUGCCUAACACGUGGGCGUCCAGCGGAUACUGUCCGGCUUGGGGCCGGAAGACCCGAGGGGUACGUCCGGGGUAGGAGUGAAAUCCUGUAAUCCUGGACGGACCGCCGAUGGCGAAAGCGCCUCGGGAGGACGGACCCGACAGUGAGGGACGAAAGCCAGGGUCUCCAACCGGAUUAGAAACCCCAGUAGUCC